rnacentral:rRNA from 1 species
AGAGUUUGAUCAUGGCUCAGGAUGAACGCUGGCGGCGUGCUUAACACAUGCAAGUCGAACGAACCUUCGGGUUAGUGGCGGACGGGUGAGUAACGCGUGAGAAUCUGCCCUCAGGAGGGGGAUAACGGCUGGAAACGGCCGCUAAUACCCCAUAUGCCGAGAGGUGAAAUGAAUUUCGCCUGAGGAUGAGCUCGCGUCUGAUUAGCUAGUUGGUGGGGUAAGAGCCUACCAAGGCGACGAUCAGUAGCUGGUCUGAGAGGAUGAUCAGCCACACUGGGACUGAGACACGGCCCAGACUCCUACGGGAGGCAGCAGUGGGGAAUUUUCCGCAAUGGGCGAAAGCCUGACGGAGCAACGCCGCGUGAGGGAUGAAGGCCUCUGGGCUGUAAACCUCUUUUCUCAAGGAAGAAGAACUGACGGUACUUGAGGAAUAAGCCACGGCUAAUUCCGUGCCAGCAGCCGCGGUAAUACGGGAGUGGCAAGCGUUAUCCGGAAUUAUUGGGCGUAAAGCGUCCGCAGGCGGCCCUGUAAGUCUGUCGUUAAAGCGUGGAGCUUAACUCCAUUUAAGCGAUGGAAACUACAAGGCUUGAGUGUGGUAGGGGCAGAGGGAAUUCCCGGUGUAGCGGUGAAAUGCGUAGAUAUCGGGAAGAACACCAGUGGCGAAGGCGCUCUGCUGGGCCAUAACUGACGCUCAUGGACGAAAGCCAGGGGAGCGAAAGGGAUUAGAUACCCCUGUAGUCCUGGCCGUAAACGAUGAACACUAGGUGUCGGGGGAAUCGACCCCCUCGGUGUCGUAGCCAACGCGUUAAGUGUUCCGCCUGGGGAGUACGCACGCAAGUGUGAAACUCAAAGGAAUUGACGGGGGCCCGCACAAGCGGUGAAGUAUGUGGUUUAAUUCGAUGCAACGCGAAGAACCUUACCAGGGUUUGACAUCCUGCGAACCCCUGAGAAAUCGGGGGGUGCCUUCGGGAACGCAGAGACAGGUGGUGCAUGGCUGUCGUCAGCUCGUGUCGUGAGAUGUUGGGUUAAGUCCCGCAACGAGCGCAACCCACGUCUUUAGUUGCCAGCAUUCAGUUGGGCACUCUAGAGAGACCGCCGGUGAUAAACCGGAGGAAGGUGUGGAUGACGUCAAGUCAUCAUGCCCCUUACAUCCUGGGCUACACACGUACUACAAUGCUACGGACAAAGGGCAGCAAGCUCGCGAGAGUAAGCAAAUCCCAUAAACCGUGGCUCAGUUCAGAUCGUAGGCUGCAACUCGCCUACGUGAAGGAGGAAUCGCUAGUAAUCGCAGGUCAGCAUACUGCGGUGAAUACGUUCCCGGGCCUUGUACACACCGCCCGUCACACCAUGGAAGUUGGCCACGCCCGAAGUCGUUACUCCAACCCUUGUGGAGGAGGACGCCGAAGGUGGGGCUGAUGACUGGGGUGAAGUCGUAACAAGGUAACC